CUCAUUUUCCACCGGAAGGAGGGAGAAAUUAUGACACCUGAUGCUAGCGGCUUUUGUCUCGCCAAGUUGACCCAGUAUUUGGCCACCUUGUGCGGCGGGUGACUAUGGUGUCCCGGUAUAUAUAUGUAUUACCUGAAAGCCCAGGGCAGUUGUUGCCUUGGGUCAUGCAGAGAAUAUGCAGCCACACCCAUGCCUUAGAUGUGUGUAAUUCAAGUGGAGAAGACACAAGCCAGUGGUCGCAAUAUCAACACUUGAGUGUUCUGUAAACGAUUAAUGUUUGCCAUGUGCAAGGAAAUGGCAGAGGCAAAAUGCUGGCGGCUUAUGGAAAAAUAAUUUAUAAAAAAAAUGAUGGGUUAGUUCUGCCAAAUUUGAGUAAGUGAGAACACGAGAAACCAUAUUCUGUUAGAGCUUGAGAAAAGGAAGGAAAGUCAAACGGUGAGUCUAACCUCAUUUAUUCCAGGAUUGGUGUCAGCAGAAAACCAACAGUGAUGUGGUGGCACACAGUGAACUGACAGGACCCAGGCAGCAGCGGUUCUUUUGGUGGCAAUGGUGCCAUGUCAUGGGUACUCUCCUUGCUGAUGGCAGAUACCGACAGGCAAACUGUUGCCUUGCGUUUAGCUCUGUUAACCAUUGACAGUAAGGUAAGCAUGUCUUCAGCGUUCAUGGCU
ensembl:lincRNA 2900076A07Rik RIKEN cDNA 2900076A07 gene